UCCCUGGUGGUCCAAGGUUAAGACUCUGCACUUCUAUUGCAGAAGGCAUGAGUUUGAUCCCUGGUCAGGGAA
rnacentral:tRNA from 1 species